GACGUCACUGGGUGGAGAGGAAGAUGGGGCCGCGCAGCGUCGCCGGGAGCAGUGUGGCACAGCGCGGUGAAACUUUCCCGGGGCUCUUGGUCUUCGUCCGUCAUGUGGAAUUCAUCAGCAUUUCAGCAAGUCGGUGAUUAUCUUGGAGAAUAUGUGGGACUAAUCGGAUAAAUUGAGGCGCCUGAUAGGAUUAAUGAACUCCCAAAUAAGAUCUCCUCGGUUGUGGGAAAACCCAAGGCAAGCAAGGACUUAAUAUGAAGACUUGAGACUACAACUGAUGAAAUCUGGAGCAACUCACAAAGGUGCUGGGGAUCUCAACAGUCACUAACCAAUCUCAGCAUGUGAAGAGAGACUCCAGCAGAUUGAGCAGACAAGACCAAUGGAAAGGCCAGCAGUCAAGAAGGUGGUCUCUGCAAGUGUCGUGGAACGUGUAGAACACGACAAGACACAGAAGAUGUCUUGGUCAUCCACUGCGCCUAGUCCCAUCUCCAGCCAUCUCGACUGUUGUCUUGCCACUGGAUCCAGUUAGGAAUUGAAAAGAGAGAGUGAGACUGACGCUGCGCACCUCUCCCUCACUUAAAUCCAAAUCAAGCGCUGGUCUCGACACCAUCAUCAUCAUCAUCAUGGUGUCAAGGUCUUCAUCGGCGAUGGAUGAACAACCAAACCAACCAAUCUGUCAGUAUUUUCUAGUUCAACUCUUAAGUUGACAAAUCUUUGCCUCCAAGUUGAGCUGCUUUGUAAGUCAAUUACAUUUCAAAAUUAUUUUAAUCAUUCCACUGUAAUGUUUCCAAAUAAGUGUCUAGUGUUAUAUCAUCAACACAUUUUGUUUUGCAUUUCAGCAAAUGACAUGAACUUGGUGAAUCUUAAAGAAACUUGUUCAAUACGUGAACUAAUGAUGCUCAAAACAUGGAUUGGAAGGUUCUGAAUACCUGUCUUUUCAGGAAUUUCAAUAUCAAUCAUGUUUCUUUUAGUUUAUUUCCAUUGUCAGCAUCACAUUUAAUUGCUUCCAGUUUGAUUUCAAAGGCUUUGAUUGGGGAAAAAAAAAUUUCAUAUUAUCAAGCAUCAAGUGUUUUGCCAGAUCCCUGUAAUUUAGUGUUCAAGUUAUAUAAAUGUGAGAUGAGAUCUGCAAAAGGCAUCAGUUUAAAAAUCCAAACACUUAACAUUUAAGAUCAGAACCUCUACUAAGCCAACAAACAUUGUUGUACAUAAUUAGGCCAAUAAAUUCUUAGAUUUGUUCAAAGUACAACCAGAAAUGAAAUGACUUGCCUUGGUUACAAUCUUCAUGUCUUCAAAUUCCUUAAAGCCAGCUUUUGCACGUAAAGCCUCAUAUAUUAUACAAUUAAAGCUUAUCUCUGGAUGCCCAGCAUACUUUGCAAAUAGAUUGACAAAGCCUGGACUGAAAGACAAUUAAUCUUUCAGUUCAAUCUAUUUCAUCCCUCAAUUAACACACAAAAUGCUGGAGCAACUCAGCAGAUUAAAUAACAUCUAUGGAAAGGAAUAAAACAGAGAUCUUGGGGUCCAGGUUCAUAGCUGUUUGAAAGUGGCUACACAGGUGGUUAAAAAGGCUUAUGAAAUACUUUCAUUAAUUUAGUUUAAAAGUCAGGAGGUUAUAGAACUCUGGUUAGGCCACAUCUGGAGUAUUGCACACAUUUCUGGUCACCCCAUGAUGGGAAGGAUGUUGAGGCUUUGGAGAGGGUGCGGAAAGCUGCCUGAUUAGAGGGCAAAUGCUAUCAUGAGAGGUUGGACAAACUUGGGUUGUUUUCUCAGAGGCUAAGGGGAGAUUUGAUAGAGGUUUGUAAGAUUGAGAGGCAUAGAGAGAGUAGACAGAGGGUCUCUGUUUCCCAGGAUAGAAAUAUCUCCACCAGAGGGCAUACAAUUGAAGGUGAAAGGGGGUAGCUUCAAAGCUGAUGUAAGGGGGUCGUGGAUGCCUGGAAUGUGCUGCCUGGUAUGGUGGUAAAGGUAAAUAUAUUGGAGGCUUUUAAGAGCUGUUUAGAUAGGCACAUGGAUAUGAGGGAGAUGGAGAGAAAUGGACAUGGUGUAGGUAGGAAGUAUUAGUUGUGAGGGGUUUUUGAUUUGCUCUUUAGCUGGUUUAGUGCAACCUUAAGGGCUGAAGGACCUGUUCCUGUGCUAUACUGUUCAGUGUUCUAUGUUAAUUUUUUAUUCCUUUCCAUAGAUGCUACCUGACCUUUUGAGUUCCUCCAACAUUGUCUGUCUGUCUGUCUCUGACUCCUGGAUUUCCAGUAUCUGUAGAAUCUGUGUUUAGCUCACCUUCUCAGAUGUUGCCUGACCUGCUCGGUUCCUCCAGUUUUAUUUUCCUGUUCCAGAAAGCCAGUUUACUUGUUUGGUGUCAACCCUCUACUGAAUUUUUCAAGAUUUAAUGGGAAAUGGAUUCAGAAGAAAUAGAAUUUAGAAUCAAAAUUGAGUAAAUGUAUUUUCAAUAAAGCCAAAAUAGUAAUUGUAUUCUUUAGGAAAGUGAGAUGAACCAUUUCCCCCUUUGUGCGUACAUGACUACUCAAUAGAAAGAUUGAUAGCAACAAGUUCCUGGGAGUUCAUAUCACAGGUGACCUCACCUGAUCCUUUAAUAUCACCUCCAUGAAUAAGAAGGCAGAUCAGCACCUCCACUUCCUGAGGAGAUAGAGGCAAGCGAGGCUCUCCACCCCCCCCCCCACUCCACCCCAAUCUUAACUGCAUUUUACAGGAGAACCACUGAGAGUGUCCUGACAAAUUGCAUCUCCAUCUGGUAUGGGACCAGGUGAACAUCGGACCAAAGGGCCCUACAAAGGACAGUGAAAAUGGCCAAGAGGAUCAUAGGUGUCUCCCUAUCAUCCAUCAGGAAAAUUUAUUGGGAGCAUUGUGUACUCAGGCCCCUUGGUAUUAUCAAGAAUCCCACCCUUCUAUCCAGCAUCCUCUUUGACUCUCUGUCAUAAGGCAGGAGACUCUAAUGCAUAAAGACAAGAACAGUCAGGAUGGAAAACAGCUUCUUCCUUCGAGUCGUUAGGCUUCUGAACUCCCUGCAGCAUCACAUUUGAAGUGUCACUAGGUAAUUUGUACCAUACUCUACAAUAUUUAAUUUAUACACUCUACUUCCUUUAUAUAUGUGUAAUUUAUUUGUAGAUUUAAUUCUUACAUUCCUGAGUUAUUGUGUGUUAUGUGUACUACUGUGCUUUACACCCUGGUCUAGAGAAAUGUCUCAUUUAAUGGCAUAUAUGUAUAUAGUUAAAUGACAGUAAACUUGAAUAGAUGCCUGUAAAAAAGCAUCCAUUAGUCUUGCGAGACCAUGGAUCUACGCCUGGAAAGUCUUCACCCUCUAGGGCGCAGGCCUGGACAAGGUUGUUUGGAAGACCAGCAGUUGCCCAUGGUGCAAGUCUCCCUUCUCCACAUUGUCCAAGGGAAGGACAUUAGGACCCAUACAGCUUGGCACCAGUGUCGUCGCAGAGCAAUGUGUGGUUAAGUGCCUUGCUCAAGGACACAACACGUUCCCUCGGCUGGGGCUCGAACUCAUGACCUUCAGGUCGCUAGUCCAAUGCUUUCACCACUUGGCCGCGUGCCCACAGACGCCUGUAUGCUGCUGGUAUUUGCCCUUUUAAUGGCAACACCUCAUAAUUAUAAAGCAAAUUAUUUCCUUUCAAAGAAGUUGAAAUGGAGACCUUCCUAAAGGCAGAGAAUGAGAUUGAUAAAGAAAACCUGUCUUGGCAGCUAAAGGUAUUUCUGUCAAAAAAUGAAAGAAGUUAAAAUCACAAUGUGAAUAAAACAAAUUUUGAAGAAUUCACUUGUGAUAUCAGAAACAACAAGUCAAGUGACAAUCAGCACGUACUACAUCAUCCCAACUUAUGUGCUGGUCUGAGCCCAGAGUACACAGCUCAAAUUUCUGGAAAUGCAGUAUGUGACCUGUACUCAAGUACCCAAUUUCAUCACAGAACAUUCAGUGCAGAUUACAGCACAAAUUCAAAGGAAGUCUGGGCUGUCAAGCCUGUUCUGCCAUUCAAUAAGAGCAUGUCUGAUCAAAUUGUAAUCUUGCCUCAGUAUCCCUGUUACCCCCGCCCCUGCACAAUGAUCUCUGUAUUUAAAAAAUAUUAGAAACAUAGAAAAUCUACCGCACAAUACAGGCCCUUCGGCCCACAAAGCUGUGCCAAACACGUCCCUACCGUAGAACUACUUAGGCUUUACCCAUAGCCCUCUAUUUUUCUAAGCUCCAUCCAGGAGUCUCUUAAAAGACCCUAUCGCUUCCACCUCCACCAUCGCCGCUGGCAGCCCAUUCCACACACUUACCACUCUCUGCGUUUAUUUUAAAAAAACUUACCCCUGACAUCUCCCCUGUACCUACUUCCAGGCACCUUAAAACUAUGCCCUCUCAUGCAAUAUUAAUUUGUGUAUGCUGCUGUCAAGCCAAGUUGAUUAGCAAAUGGAGAGAGCAGAUUAAUGGUAUUUCAGCAGCAUCACAAAGGCUUGUGACCCCUGGACAAAAAUGUUUUAGCUGUUCUACAUGGGAAAUCCUUAUUUUUAAAGUUUUAUUAGACCGUAAGAGAAAGCAUUCUGUCCAUGUUCACCCUUGAGGACCAUUUAAAAUCCCCUAUAUUUCAAAAUGCCUCCCUUUUCUAAAUACUGCCAAAUUUAAGCCUCAUCUUUCUAAGCUGUUCUCAUGAGACAAGCUUCCCAUUCAGGUAUUAGUCUAGUAAACCUCAGAAAUGUCUCCAGUGUAUAUUUUUUUUCUUUAAAACACAGUAAUAUUAUGGACGGCAUUACAGAUAUGACAAUUGUCCCGUAUCGGACCACUAAGCACUCCAGCGUGUGGUGAAAACUGCCCAGCAGAUUAUCGGCACCCAAUUGCCCACCAUUGAGAACAUCUACCAUAAACGCUGCCUGGGUAGGGGGAAAAGCGUUAUCAGGGAUGCAUCUCACCCUAACCAUGGACUUCUUACUCUCCUCCCAUCCGGUAGGUGCUACAGGAGCCUCCGCUCCCGCACCAGCACGCAUAGGAAGCGCUUCUUCCCUGAGUCUGUGACACUGCUGAACCUCUCAUCACAGUGCUAAGCAGUAUUGCAUCCAUAUUGUAGCCUCAGUACUUUUAUAUUUGUGUGCUGUAGCACUUUUUAUUUGCAGUUAUUUUGUAAAUAACACUUUUUAUUUCUGGUCAGAUGCUAAAUGCAUUUCAUUGGCUUUGUAUCUGUACUCGGCACAAUGACAAUAAAGUUGAAUCUAAUCUAAUCUACGAUAAGGUCUCACUAAGCUCCUAUAUAACACUGGACAACAAAGAUUUUGCUUCCUGACUACUUUUGGGUGUAUCUUAAUGAAUUUUGGGCGGCUAAUCAUGAAGAUCACCAUGAAAUUUCUGAAUCGCGCACCAUAUUUUUGAAAUCACCUUUUUUUAAAUUUCAGUUCAUGAUUCAAAUCUGAAUAAUUGAUGCCAAUAUUAAGGAAGGCAUUUUUUUGCUGGUCCACAAAUCAAGCAGGUCAUCAAAGAUAGACAAUUCGGGGAACUUCUAGUGGGACUGGAAAAAAUCGCAUGGAUGGCAUUCAAGGAUGCUGUUAAAAAUUUACUUGGUAGCUGCAGCGCACCAAACUACGUGCAGCCAGUUGACAACGUGCUUCAAGCAUACAAAACCAUGAAGCGCAACAUGUCACUAAAGAUUCAUUUUCUGCAUUCUCAUUUAGACUACUUCCGUGCAAAUCUUGGUGCUGUCAGUGUUGAGCACGGUGAAAGGUUUCAUCAGGACAUUGCGGUCAUGGAGAAACAGUAUCAGGGCAACUGGCUGAUUAUUGUUGGACACAAGUGAGGAGCCUCAGAUGCUGAGUACAAACAAAAAUUAUCAACAAAACGUUUUUAGCUUAGUUGCACUAUUGCAAAACAUUUGUAACAUUAUGCAAUUAAACAACACACAUAAAAGUUGCUGGUGAACGCAGCAGGCCAGACAGCAUCUCUAGGAAGAGGUGCAGUCGACGUUUCAGGCCGAGACCCUUUGUCAGAACUAACUGAAGGAAGAGUGAAUAAGGGAUUUGAAAG